UACGUAGGGUGCAAGCGUUAAUCGGAAUUACUGGGCGUAAAGCGUGCGCAGGCGGUUCUGUAAGUCUGUCGUGAAAUCCCCGGGCUUAACCUGGGAAUUGCGAUGGAGACUGCAAGGCUAGAAUCUGGCAGAGGGGGGUAGAAUUCCACGUGUAGCAGUGAAAUGCGUAGAGAUGUGGAGGAACACCGAUGGCGAAGGCAGCCCCCUGGGUCAAGAUUGACGCUCAUGCACGAAAGGCGUGGGGAGCAAACAGG
rnacentral:rRNA from 1 species